AUACGGAGGGGACUAGCGUUGUUCGGAAUUACUGGGCGUAAAGCGUACGUAGGCGGAUCAGAAAGUAUGGGGUGAAAUCCCAGGGCUUAACCCUGGAACUGCCUCAUAAACUCCUGGUCUUGAGUUCGAGAGAGGUGAGUGGAAUUCCGAGUGUAGAGGUGAAAUUCGUAGAUAUUCGGAGGAACACCAGUGGCGAAGGCGGCUCACUGGCUCGAUACUGACGCUGAGGUACGAAAGUGUGGGGAGCAAACAGGAUUAGAAACCCUAGUAGUCC
rnacentral:rRNA from 1 species